CACACACACACACACACACACACACACACACACACACACACACGGCUGGCAUAUUGCCCAGGGAACAGUCCAUUGACGUCAGAGAGAGCAGGCUCUUGCCUCAUCCCAGUCCCUCUUCUCCAAACAAACUCAAAACACUCCUGCCACACUGACUCUCUUCCUUUCUCUCUCGCUUUGCUCUCUUUCCCUCUGUCUAACCCUUCUUCUUUUACAGAGGAAAUAGUGGCUGGGACGUGAACCAUAAGGGGGACAGACACUAAAUAAGCCUGUUAAAUCAGGUGGAAGAGGGAGAGGAGAGACAGGGUGGUGGAAACACUUGACACGCUCCGACUCUGUGCAUUUACUUCUCUCCCCUAAGCACACCGCUGUAGCCAUAGCUGUCGGGGGUAAUUAAUGGGACACAACAAGUUCAGUCACUGAACUCCUGCCUCUUCUGAAAAACUCAUUGGACGCCCUUUAUUUAAUCCUGUCUGAUAAUUCCAGGUUAUCCACUGCUGUAUGAAGAGGAAAUCAUCAGAUUCGUGUUCAAGCCUGAUCCCCAAUCUGAAAUAUGAGAGGUGACAUCCACAGCAAGAAAGAUUACAGGAGGAUGUUUCUGGAAAAUAUGACACUCACUGCUUGGUUUUUAUGUGAUGAAACUAUUGAUUUAGUGUCUUAAUCAUAUAUAUACACAAUGGGAGAAUUUUUUUUUUUUUGUAAGUUUCAUUUCUUUACAAGUUUGCUCACUUACAAAGAAACAAACAGUCUUGUAUUUUGUGGUAAUUUCAGUUUAAUGGAGAGACGGAAUGAAAGUCACUCAGUGAUCCUCUGCAACCCAGCCAGAAUUCUAGAUCGCACAGACUAGGGGUUAGGGAUACAACCAAUCAAUUCCAGCUGUCCAAAAUUGUCGAAUGGACAACAAAAGCAUCAGUAAGAAGCUUGUUGAGAAGGUGAAACUGAAGAAAACUAAAAUGACCAACAGUCACCCUCAUGGGGUGAGGAUGAUCAUGAGAAAAGGUGGUGAAUAAGCCCAAAACUACUAAGACAGUUGGGACCACAGUCACUAAGAACACCACCACUGGUAACACACUUCACUGUAAUGAACCGAAAUCUUUCAGCAGCCACUAGGUCCCCCUGCUCAAGAAGGCACAUGCACAGGCUGGUCUUAAGUUUCCCCGUGAACAUCUCAGUGAUUCAGAAAGGGCCUGGGUGCUGAUUGAAACCAUGUUUACUGGGAGGGAAAUGCUGAGUGUGACUCAAAGAACACCAUCCCCACUGACAAGCAAAGAAACCUAAAGGAUUUAAAGUUUCUGUGAAGAGGAGAGGACCAAAAUCUCUCCCGAGAGGUGUGCGAACCUGGUGACCAACUAUAAGAAAUAUCUUACCACUGUACUUCCCAACAAAGAUUUCCUCACCGAGUACCAACUCAUGCAGGAUAUCAAAUACUUAAUUCACUCAAUGCCAUGAAACUCAGUCUGUAACUUUUAUGGAUUUCUGGUUGAUAUUCUGUUUCUCUCCAUUUAAAUAAAACUACCAUUAAAAUUAGAGACUGUUAAUUUCUUUGCACGAGAGCAAACUUAGAAAUUCAGCAGGGGGUCAAAUAAUUUCCCCUAUUUUACACACACACACACACACACACACACACACACACACACAUAGGGGUGCUAUGCCUUGAGUAGAUGGAUGUACAUCUAUGAUGAGCUGACAAAGCCUCAGAUUUUAGAUCACAUUGAUUACUUUUACAAAUAUUUACCUGAUUAUUUCAACAUUUGGGCACAUUUAAUGUCAUGUGACACAGCAUAUGAAUAUAUGAAUUUCAACACACACAAAUUAUGACCGUAUCACAGAGCAACUCCACACAUAAGCUUGCACACACGCACACUCUUCAACAAUGAAGCAGUGAGUCAUAUUUCCUGUGUGACCAUAUAUGGAAGAUGCUUCCUCUAGUGCACAGUUGCCAGGGUGACAGUGAGAAGCAGGGACACAUGAACACAGAAAAAAAAAAAAAAACUAGCUAAAAGACUUGCUAAUUGCAGGCUGAAUCAUCCAGCUCUUGGAGAAAAGAAAAUAGGACUCACAAACAUUAACCAAGUCAGUGUCAUGUAGAUAGACACACACACACACACACACACACACACACACACACACACACACACAGUAUAUGGACAGACAUACAGCUGCCCGCAAUACUGCAGCUGCUCAGAGUUACUUUUGAUACUGCGCAC